GGGGAAUAUUGCACAAUGGGGGAAACCCUGAUGCAGCGACGUCGCGUGAAGGAAGAAGUAUUUCGGUAUGUAAACUUCUAUCAGCAGGGAAGAAAAUGACGGUACCUGACUAAGAAGCCCCGGCUAACUACGUGCCAGCAGCCGCGGUAAUACGUAGGGGGCAAGCGUUAUCCGGAUUUACUGGGUGUAAAGGGAGCGUAGACGGAGAGGCAAGUCUGAUGUGAAAACCCGGGGCUCAACCCCGGGACUGCAUUGGAAACUGUUUUUCUAGAGUGUCGGAGAGGUAAGCGGAAUUCCUAGUGUAGCGGUGAAAUGCGUAGAUAUUAGGAGGAACACCAGUGGCGAAGGCGGCUUACUGGACGAUGACUGACGUUGAGGCUCGAAAGCGUGGGGAGCAAAC
rnacentral:rRNA from 1 species